rnacentral:rRNA from 1 species
CCCUUAGAUGUUCUGGGCCGCACGCGCGCUACACUGACGACUUCAACGAGUUUUUUUCAUUUGAAAAAGUCCUUGGCCGGAAGGUCUGGGUAAUCUUUUAAAAGGUCGUCGUGAUGGAGCUAGAUUCUUGCAAUUAUUAAUCUCCAACGAGGAAUUCCUAGUAAACGCAAGUCAUCAACUUGCAUUGAUUACGUCCCUGCCCUUUGUACACACCGCCCGUCGCUACUACCGAUUGAACGGUUUAGUGAGGGCCUCGGAUUGGUCUCGGCCCGCUCUUUACCGGGCGGCGCCGUUGGUCGAGAAGACGCUCGAACUUGAUCGUUUAGAGGAAGUAAAAGUCGUAACA